CCAAUCUGAGGUCGGGGCGCAAAGAGCAGAGUAGGUGGGAGUGGGGAUCACUCCACACCGGGACUGCGAAUCUGGGUCUGGAAGACCAACAAUAUCCAGCUGGAAAGAGAUCUUUGCUGUGUUUUCUAGCUUCUGUUUUACACAUGGGGAGAGUGAAGCUUAGGGAAGGGCCUGGCAGCUCCCAACCAUGGUAGGCUGGAGAGCCAUAGUAUAUCAUGUAUGCGCUGAAAUCAAGAGGAAGCAGAAAUGAAGAGUUGGCAGAAGCUAGGACAUAAGGUAGGGCCAGGAUGAACCAUGUGCAAGCUGAAAUAACGAAGAACCAGAAACCACCCAUUUAGCAAAAGCUGCAGAGGGUAGGAAAAGUCAGCCAGCAGCAAGAGACGAAUAAAGG